CUNCAGGUGAUCCCGCCGGACCCGACUGCUAUCAGAGUGGGACUAAGCCAUGCGAGUCAACAUAGCAAUAUGUGGCAUACGGCUCAGUAACACGUAGUCAACAUGCCCAGGGGACGUGGAUAACCUCGGGAAACUGAGGAUAAACCGCGAUAGGUCAUCACUUCUGGAAUGGGUAAUGACUUAAAUCUAUAUGGCCCCUGGAUUGGACUGCGGCCGAUCAGGCUGUUGGUGAGGUAAUGGCCCACCAAACCUGUAACCGGUACGGGCUCUGAGAGGAGGAGCCCGGAGAUGGGCACUGAGACAAGGGCCCAGGCCCUAUGGGGCGCAGCAGGCGCGAAACCUCUGCAAUAGGCGAAAGCUUGACAGGGUUACUCUGAGUGAUUUCCGUUAAGGAGAUCUUUUGGCACCUCUAAAAAUGGUGCAGAAUAAGGGGUGGGCAAGUCUGGUGUCAGCCGCCGCGGUAAUACCAGCACCCCGAGUGGUCGGGACGUUUAUUGGGCCUAAAGCAUCCGUAACCGGUUCUACAAGUCUUCCGUUAAAUCCACCUGCUUAACAGAUGGGCUGCGGAAGAUACUAUAGAGCUAGGAGGCGGGAGAGGCAAGCGGUACUCAGUGGGUAGGGGUAAAAUCCGUUGAUCCAUUGAAGACCACCAGUGGCGAAGGCGGCUUGCCAGAAUGCGCUCGACGGUGAGGGAUGAAAGCUGGGGGAGCAAACCGGAUUAGAUACCCGGGUAGUCCCAGCCGUAAACGAUGCAGACUCGGUGAUGGGUUGGCUUCGCGCUAACCCAGUGCCGCAGGGAAGCCGUUAAGUCUGCCGCCUGGGUAGUACGGUCGCAAGACUGAAACUUAAAGGAAUUGGCGGGGGAGCA
rnacentral:rRNA from 1 species